CGGUUUUAGAAACAAAUAGCAAACAAUUACAAUAAAGAAUACUGUACAAACAUUGUGAAACAAUAUUGGGCGGAAAUAUGAUGAGAAAUAGUGGAACUGUGUCAUCACAAUUUGCGGAACGGUCUUUGUUCAAACACACUCAUACCUGCGCAUUUCAAUGUAAAAUAUCAAUAAAUAACAGUUUCGCAAAUUGUUGCACAUGCUAGUGUUUGUAAGAUAUUCGUGCUUGCAAAUUUACAUCGUUCUAUUUAUUUUGUUUGUGAUUAAAGGUGAAAAUUGAUUUGUGAAAAAAAUUUUAAAGCAAUUUGAACAAUGAAUUCAUUAUCAUAAUCGUCGGCAUCGGAAAAAGAUGCAGCUGCAUUAAACGAGCCGGAAUCCGGAACACGUCCAACUACCAAUUACGACCCAGUUGUGCUGUAAUCUCUGCACUCUAGUAUCCGGCAGACGAAAUUUUGCCCCCGGAAGCCUGAUCGCUGUUAGGACCCGGUUCAUUCCCAGCGGGAAGAUUAAUAUGUAUGCUGUCACUGUCCGAAUGGCAAAUACGAGCCACAAGAAAAAACAUCCGAAGUGCAAAUUGAUCCCGCUGUCGAACAGCGGAGGAGCAGUGUUGGAUCACGAGAAGAAGCGGAUUCGUAACCAUCUGGAUGUCCAAUAUUCUCCGUUAAACAAAUCCGAUUUAUAGCAUAGCGUCAACAAGAAAUCUCGCAGCAACUCCAAACUAGUUAUUCUGGAUCAUAAUGUCGCUGGAUGGAAGUGUUUGUACUAGAACUAGCUGGAACAGCAAGGACGUAUUGAAGAAGCAACGAUCGGAGCGAAUGAAUCUAUUUCUCUUUUUUUCCCCAUCUGGCUAACUUGUGCAAUCCACGUAGGUGGUGAAAUAAAGAACUACAGACUAGGAAAGUUAUAUCGAACCCUCAUAUGAUUUUUUCUAAAUUAUACAUUAAGUGUGAUAUAAUUAAAGUGUGUAUAUAUAA